UCUCUAUAUGCCUUUAAAUCUUUAUUUAUUUAAGUAAUCUCUCUACCCAACAGGGGGGUCGGACUCCCGACACAGAGGUCAGGAGUUUCACGCUCUCCGGACUGAGCCAGCCAGGUGCCCCUACAAUCUAUAUAUUUUCAGAAAUAAUGUUGAACCUUCCACGCGAAGCGCACUCCGACAUUUUCUCCCUCGGACUGCCCAAUCUGUCCUAGCCUGCCCUAUCCUCGCCAAUCCUAUCCUAUUUCAUACCACUUUAUUUUAUUUUCUAUUUCUUAAUGCAACUCGCAGACCAUUAACAUGAUUUCAUUGGCCGCUACGGCGUUGCAAUCCGCAUUUUGAAAAGCACUGACCUAGUCGUGGAAAGGAAGGUAUCUGCUGCACCUCGUGAAUAUCUAUUGAGUGGCGGACGGUGAAUGAAUGAAAUCGGUUCAGUCCAGUCUGUAAUUAUUUUGUACUCUACUAUUAUGUAUAAUUAUGUGUGCCAGGUACUGGGAUGCAGUUAUGAACACGUUCAGCCCCCUGGCCUUGAGUCCACCUCUCAUCGGGGAAGAGGGAGGUCCUGAGAGGCAGUGACAAGACGGCGUGACCCCUCUUCCACAGAGGUGAGGCAGGUGCCUUGGGUGCACAGCUAAGAAGCCAGUGGCCCUUCCAGGAUGGAAGGUGAGAGAGGGAACAGGGAACCCUCCACCAGGUACGUCAAGGAGCCACCAGAAAAGGGAUGUGAAAUUCGUGAUUUUUUUUAAUGUUUAUUUAUUUUUGAGAGAGAGAGGCAGAAAGAGAGGGAGACGCAAAAGCCGAAGCAGGCUCCAGGCUCCGAGCUGCCGGCACAGGGCCUGAUGUGGGGCUUGAACCCACGAACCUCGGGCCCACCACCUUUCAGGGCAAUCAUGAGAAGUGACUGCAGAUGUCUGAGCUGGGGAAGAAGUCCUCCAAAACCUCCUCGAGCCAUAAAUAGAGUCUUUCUUUCUUCCUUUUCUUAACCCCCCUGUUUUUUGUCCUUUAAGGGUAUUGCUUUUCAUAUUUUUACCUCCAGCUGUCUCGAUGGUAUUUCAACCUUUUUUAUAUUUUCCUAAGUCUUGUAUUUAACGUGCCCUGGAAAUUGUCAUCGAAUAUAAAAAAUCAGAUCUCAAACUUCUGCGUUAGGAACGGAGGGACGCAGAGCAAGGUUUUUUGGGUUUUUUUUUUUUGUUUUUUUCUCUUUUGAGUGCAUGGACUUUUGAUAUAUGGAAUGAAGACGAUUGUGUCUGAUUGCAUCUGUAAUGAACCCUCAUAAUUUUAGAUUAGGGUUAUGUGGACGUCCCAACUAAUGGGCAGUAGAUUGUGUGGAUAUAAUUCUAGCCUAUCAUACUUUUUCUUCAAUAUCAAUUACUUUGAAUGCUUAAAUAUCCAAUUUCCUGAGAUUUUUAUCGUUCCAUUUUCUUGUUAAGUGACCCUCCCUCCCUCCCCACGCCCCCAGUUUAAGUUGCUAAAGCAAUGAACUAUGAGUUCUGGCAGCCUGAAAGGAGUAGGAGUGGGGAGCCCAGGUUCAGUGAGGGAAUGGUUUAUGGUUCGGAGUGUCUGGAAUAUUCUAUGACAAAUGCCGCCAGAGAUUAGAGACUCAGAUCUUUUCCCCAGCGCUCAGACAGAAUUGGAAAAAAGGAAAAAAUAAAGACAGGUUUAAUUAACCUGCCAAAAAGAAAAAAAAAAAUCACAGAAUGUCUGUGCGUGAGAUUAAGAGCAAAUCUAAUGAUGAAAGAGAUUGGAAGGGGGGAUGAUUAGGUAUAUUUCCUAUUCAGUCAACUAAUAUCACUGAAUCUCCUUAGAAUCAAGUCAUCAAAUUAUUUUGGCUUUGGGCUUGCCGCAGCACGGAGAACUCCUGCAGGUGGAAUCUGACCGAAAGGAAAAGUCAAGGUCACCAGCCUUCAUCUGCAGUCUCCAGGCAAAUGCACGGCUGGAGACGGAGACAGGACCUUCCCAACCCUCCUUGGGUCCAGGUGGGGCCACAUGCUUGGGUUCGUCAGUGGACGAUGAACGGCCGUGAGGGCAGCCAUUUCCAGGACAUGGCCCCGGCAGAGGGGAGAGCCACACGAUGGAAGGGGCCCUGGUGCCCGAACAUGGUGUAGAAGAAUCUUCCAGACCCACCCACCCAGGACGCGACGUGGGCGGGAGCUGACCUGAAUGGUGUAGGCACCCUGAAACGGGGGGGGGGGGGGUUGUUUGUCAGCGGGCUUCAUCUCUUUGAGCUUCUUUGUCAAAUGGGCGUACUAAUAAAACCUUGGCUUUAUAGGACCAUUGUAUGGGUUAAAUGAGAUACGGAAAUAAAGUGCCCAGUCCGAGUCCCGUAUGAAUCACCCAGUGAAUAUUAGUUAACAGUGAGGCAGCUCUAGGCUGCUGUUAUUGGAAAUCUGGCUUAUUCGUUAUGUGACCGAUAGUUCAUGAACACCAACUACACGCCAGCGCCGAUGAGAGACACUGGGGACAUGGGGACAUGAGACACAUUCUCAUGCAUAGCUAGUAGAUGUGGACUUUUUAUCUUUACCACGUUAUUCAAAGGUUGCGCUCCCUAUUCUGACCCACCCUGACGUCCACUCUGGAAUCCCUGACCACAGCUUUCUUCGCUGAAGCCAGCCCUGACCCCUGAGCACUAGCAACCAGAAAGUUCCAUCCCGUAUGAAGAGAAUACAGGUCGUUUUUGUCUAACAAAACCCACUGCCCUUGUUCUGGAACUGCCCCAACCUCAUGCUAUGACUUUGUUUUCCCGAUCGGGUUGGCUACGUGUCAGUUCUAGCUCUUGGGGUGAACACGUAACCCAAGCUGGCCGAUCAGAGCCCUCCGCGGUCCCUGAGAACACUAAUGAGGGAGUAAGCGUGUGACUUCAGCUGGGACAAUGCGAUGAAAUCUCGGGGCUUCCACAAGAACAGUGACCAGGAGAUGUCUUCUUCAUGCUGGGAUUAUUAGGCUGAGCAGAUACAAUCUCGAAGCUCUGGAGUUACCGUGACCAUCUUUGUGACCACACGGCAAGUCCCUGUCUGAGCUUCAAGCAAACGCCGGGGAGGCUGAGUCAAAAGACGUCAAAGGACGCCAGACCCCGAGGGUCUCCUCGGAGCAUCUGGACCCCGCUAUGCCUACAGUCCAGCUCUUGGACUUUGCAGUUCAUUCAACUGAAUAAUUUACUGCCCAAAGCAGUUUCACCGGGUGUUUGAUUCCUUGGAACCGAAGUAUUGCUGAGUUGAUAUCUGACAUUAGCUUUGGAGACUGAAUGGUCUGAAGCAUCACGCACUCCCCGGAGAAGACACAUCACCUGACCUUUAGGCACAGCGCUGACCUUCCCACCAUGCUGUUCCGGCACGGGCUCACCUUUCCGAAACAAGUUUAAACUCCGAAGUUUAUAUAUGCUGUUAAAGACCCCUGGGCGCUCUUGCUUCCCCUGACUAGCCUUAGCUUCCACCCCUUACCUGCCAGCCCAUUUUACUCAGGUCCCACCACAUCUUUUAGGUGACAUUUUCCCAUUUAUGACAAGCUCGCCAUUUCUGUGUAGAAGAUAAUCUUUUUAAAGCUCUUGCUCUGUAAGUUGAUGGAUUAUAAUCUCCGGGGAAAUUUAAGAGGUGUACUUCUCUCUGGUCCCCCACUCCCCAAACCCGCAGAGAAAUCCUCUUGUCUCCCCAAGACGGGAAUCUCUCCGGCUUAGUUAUUUUUUUCAUUAAAAUUCAAAUUAAUUGAAUAAAAAUGCAGAGUUUCAAAUCAAUGAACCCCUUGCAGAACCAAUACAAUGCAAGCCUCUCCCGUAACUAUGGAAUUUCUUCUAUGAACAAAUGUCGGGGCUCCCUGGGGAACGGAGUUGGCUACAAUUACCCUUAUCAGCUCAGUUCAGUUACUAGCAAGCGGGUCCCUUGGUGGCAGCGUGGAUUCAUAAACAUUUCCUGAGUAUGUACUAUGUACUGGCUCCUGGACGGUGCAUCGUC